rnacentral:rRNA from 1 species
GACGAACGCUGGCGGCGUGCUUAACACAUGCAAGUCGAACGGAAAGGCCCUGCUUGCAGGGUACUCGAGUGGCGAACGGGUGAGUAACACGUGGGUGUUCUGCCCUGCACUUCGGGAUAAGCCUGGGAAACUGGGCCUAAUACCGGAUAGGAGCCAUUCUUAGUGUGAUGGUUGGAAAGUUUUUUCGGUGUAGGAUGGGCUCGCGGCCUAUCAGCUUGUUGGUGGGGUAAUGGCCUACCAAGGCGGCGACGGGUAGCCGGCCUGAGAGGGUGGACGGCCACAUUGGGACUGAGAUACGGCCCAGACUCCUACGGGAGGCAGCAGCGGGGAAUAUUGCACAAUGGGCGCAAGCCUGAUGCAGCGACGCCGCGUGGGGGAUGACGGCCUUCGGGUUGUAAACUCCUUUCGCUAGGGACGAAGCUUUUUGUGACGGUACCUAGAUAAGAAGCACCGGCUAACUACGUG